rnacentral:lncRNA from 1 species
GCCAACUACACCUUAGUAAAAACGCUUUACGAAAGCGGACAUGAACUUGCCGAUCACUCAGUAUCUCAAAGGGUUCCUCCAGAGUGGUGGAGCGCAAAUGCAACUGUUACAGAACUCGAAUCCGAAAUUGUUGGCCAACAGAAAGCAAUACAGUCAGAAGUGGGUGUGAUUACCAAAGGCUGGCGUAACCCAUAUCUCGAAAGCACGGAAACUACGUUUAGAAUUUUAGCAGAUAACGGAUUUUUGUACGACAGCUCGUUGGUUACAUUUCCUGGAGUAAGAUGGUGGCCGUAUACUUUUGACUACUUGCCCUCUUUAAAUUGUUAUUUGAAAAACUGUCCAACAAAUUUCUACCCAGGUUUGUGGGAGGUUCCGAUUGUCACUUGGCAAUGUGAUGCGUCAGGGGCAAAAUUUGGCUCAACUAUGAGUGAUUGUGUUA